UACGUAGGUGGCAAGCGUUAUCCGGAAUUAUUGGGCGUAAAGCGCGCGUAGGCGGUUUUUUAAGUCUGAUGUGAAAGCCCACGGCUCAACCGUGGAGGGUCAUUGGAAACUGGAAAACUUGAGUGCAGAAGAGGAAAGUGGAAUUCCAUGUGUAGCGGUGAAAUGCGCAGAGAUAUGGAGGAACACCAGUGGCGAAGGCGACUUUCUGGUCUGUAACUGACGCUGAUGUGCGAAAGCGUGGGGACCAAACAGGAUUA
rnacentral:rRNA from 1 species